GUUCCAUCACCCCGAACCUUAUCUUCUCCCCCACCGCAUUAGCUUCUGCCUUGUUUAUCCACUCCCACCUCCCCGACAGUGAGGCGGAGGCCAUGCCGCCGCGGCCGCUGCGGCGGGCGUCCAGGCCGGCCCCUCCGCGUGCUCCUCGCCGACGCUGGGGCACCAGACGCGUUUUCCGUUCCGUCUUGGGCGUAGCCGAGUGCCAGCCGGCUCAACCCGCUCGAGGUGUCAGGUCGCACCGCCGCAACAGGCGUCCAUGGCGGCCCCUCCUCGUGCUCCUCGCCGACGACGGGGCACCAUGACGCUGUUUUCUCCGUUCCGUCUUGGGCGUAGCCGAGCGCCGCCUGCUCGCCCGCGCCACCGCGGCGGGCGUCGAGGACGCCUCCAUUCGAGCGCUCCUCGCUGACAACGAGCACCAGACCGCCGGUUUUCAGGGUCCAGGCUGAGAGGUCCUGCAGCCACGCCCGAGCUGCGCAGCUCGCCUCCAACCCUGCAGCAGCCGCUACCUUGCCGCGCGACCGUGGAGGAAUCUUUGAUGGUGAACUACGAGGUCAGGGGAAAAGUAGCCAACAGCUCGAGCGGUGCGCUCGAUUCAUGUCGCCGUCGCAGGACCACUGGUCCUUCGGGAGGCGGCGAGGCAGACGGGAGGCAGGCGUGGUAGGCGCAGCAAGCCUUUGCGGCAGUUGCAGGCAGGGCUAGUAAUUUCAGGUGCUUCUUCUUCCAGCAGGCGUCACCUGCGAGUCUCCCAUCUCUUCUUCAAUCAAGCUCACCACCAGGGGAAAAUGGUGGCGACGGCUACGUCUGCAACUGCCGCGCGAUGGGCGGCGGCGGCUGCCACUGCGGCUCUUACCUAGUAUCCAAAAGGAAGGACGGCAAACUAAAUACGCCACAAAAGGAGAUAAUAAUGGACAAAAUCUCUAAGAUAGGGCCCGAAUUACCUUUGCUCGUGCUGAAGAUGACAAAAAAUGGUAUACUGAAUCCAAACCUGCAUAUCUGCGACGCAUAUGUUUCGAGGUGUCUCCAGUAUUUCAUCGACGCAUAUGUUUCGAGGCGUCUCCCGCACGAACAAGAGGGCGACCAAAUAAUACCUCUCCCGCACGAACAAGAGGGCGACCAAAUGAUACCUCUCAAAGUUUUGCUAGAAGGAAAGCACCAUCGUCGAGGCCAGCGAGCCUCGCGCGGAGGAGACACGCUUGGCCCGGCGGGAGGAUACGUCGGCAAGCCUCGCGCUGAGCCCUCCGGAGGGAGCGACAGCGACAGCCGCCCCCAUCUGCAUGUGAAGAGGAGCCUCUCGCCUUCACCUGGCGAGUCCCUCCAAAAGGAGAAGAAGAUGCAGCUAGGGGCCACGACGUCCACCGAGCCCUCACCGGAGGCGCCCGCUGAGGAGACCCAUGCGCCCCUGUCGAGCCCUGAGGGGCGUGAGGAGAUGGCCCGCCAUGUUGAGGCGGCGACGAGGCAGACGGUGACCGAAGAUGGUUUUGUGACUUGGCAGCCGCUCGAAGACUUGCCUCCCCCAGCUGGGAGGAACUAGCUUCGCAAGGGAAGGGGGCCUCCGGAGGUGAGGAGGUGCCUCUAAAGGCGCGACGAGCCCCCAGCACAAGCCCACAGACGUGAAAUAACA
rnacentral:rRNA from 1 species